rnacentral:rRNA from 1 species
AUGAAUCAAGAAGAUGAUGCAGAGGAGACGGCACUGCCCAGCGCCUGGUACGAGGUGCCGUCGGUGCUGCACAUGAUGGCAAUGCUCCGUUUAUCACGAGCAAAUUCUCUGCUCCUGCCAAAGACGUCUCUUGAAGGAUACCAUGCCAAAAGAACAAAUGCGCUUCUAUCGAGAUAUUCCUUAAGGCGGCCGGGCACCUGGAGUGCGCUAUGCAGCAUGUUCUUCCUAGGAUGUCGUCCUAAAAGAGGUUUUCCUGUGGACCUGUCUGAAGGGGUCCUGAAAGCUACCUGCAUGCAAGCACUUGGUCAGGCAAUUGAUAUUCGACUUGGGUUGGCAAUUGACAGUCCAAAGGCUACCCUAGCUGUCAAAAGGAGUCUGGCAUGUGAGAUGGUCAAGUGCUGGCAGCAGGCACAUGAAAGCAUCGCGGACAUACCUCUGCUCGACGGCUGGGGCGAAAAGCACAGGCUCUUUGUAAAGUGGAAGCACAUGGAAGCAAAAGCUGCGGCGUAUUACUACCAUGUGCUUAUUCUUGACGAAAGCAACACUGAGAAGUCUCAACGAGCGGCCGUAGCGGCACUGCAGUCCGCGGAGGAGUCCCUGAGGGAGAGCAGAGCCGUCUGUGAGGCCUUCCACUCUGCAUCCCCUUGUCGAGUUGACGGGGAGCACGAGAUGGUGCUCCCACUGCAAGAGAGGGAGCCAUGCAAAUAG